AUGCUUUUCUCCACGAUUUCACUUCAAGACGUGGUCACACAGAAUGCCAGUAACGACACGAAAACAAGACAUGACUUAAAUACUUCACAUGCAGAACUUACAUUCUACUGUAAAAGCACGGCAAGGCAAAAACUCAAGUCGGACACACACCUCCCACCCCACCCCCUCCAAGACCCAUUUCUCAAGCAUCAACGCUACCAGAGUGCAAGAGUGACACCGACUGAAACAGUCAGCAACAGGAAGGGAAACACUCCAGAAGAGAUGGACACUGUACGUACCUUCCCACACUGCAACAGNNNNNNNNNNNNNNNNNNNNNNNNNNNNNNNNNNNNNNNNNNNNNNNNNNNNNNNNNNNNNNNNNNNNNNNNNNNNNNNNNNNNNNNNNNNNNNNNNNNNGGGGCGGGGAGGCGCGCUGCAGGGGGGCGCCGAGGAGCGGGUGAAGCCGUCGAGGAGCCAUGUUGGGUGUGGGAACGCUGCCGGGCGGGGGCGGCGCGUUUACACCGCGGCUGGACGGAGCUUCUAACAUUCUACACUCUUCUAAUUCGGUCACUGGUAAAUGCUUCAUUUACGUGUACUGCGCACGUGCAGAACUCGGGGAACGUCGCGGUGCUGACAGACGCUGCUUCAGCUCGGUCGGUGGCUUUUCCCUGCAGGACAAACAAGGCACAUGCUCAGAUGGCCCUCAGCUGUUGAGCCAGAGGUCUGCUGCGAGUUCUUUCAGCCUCCCAGCCUGAGACAGUUUUGUGGUCGCUCAUCUGAUUGAGCCAGGAGUGCUGCUCGCUGUCUUCCUGUGCCAGGCUGAGGGAGGAAGGUGGGAGAAAGGAAGAAAGGAAGAGGAGGGAGCGCACCAUCCCAAUGGCUUUGCUGGGAAGGAAGCCUGGUAAGAGCAGUGCUGCUGGUCUGAGUCCCAGCUGGCUUUUACCCCUGGGCAAUGCCCUGCAGGGGGGCUGGUGAGGGUGGGGGUUGGGCAGGGAUUGCUGCAUUCCCUCACACCUCUCCUGCCUAUUGUUUCCUUUGUCCCAGCAGGCUCCAGUUUAACAUCUGCCUGCAGCAGAGCAGCAACUGGCCACAGCACGUCCAUCUCAGGCAGGGGCUUGGGGACGCAGCCAGAAGAGGGCAAGGAGCGAGAGAUGGGAGUGCAGGGUGAGAGUGAGGUGUCCUCAGCCAGCGUUUGUGUGCUGGGAACAGAGAAGAAGCCGCUGGGAUGGGAGUUUCUCUCCUCUCCAAGCUGCUUCCCUGGGCCUUGGCCAUGCACAGCAAGGAGCACUUGCAGGAGCCCGUGGCCUUUGCAGAGGUGGCCAUGUAUUUCAGCAGGGCGCUGCUGGACCCUGCGCAGCGAGCGCUGUACCGGGCUGUGAUGCUGGAGACAUAGCAGUGCGUGGCCUCGCUGGGUGAGGGCUUUACUGCUGCUCCUUCUUGUUAGGGCAGCCCUGACUGUGCAGAAUGAGCCUCUGCAAGCAGGGCAUAGAAUAAAUGCAGUGCAGUUACUUAUUGGCAAGGCAACAGCAACAGAAGAAACACAGAGAAGCGUGAGUUGCAGAAUUAGCGUGCUCAGUCCCCUGAGAAAAGCCCCAGAGUCACUGCUGCCACACAGGUGUCAGCCGGAGGGGUUGGAUCAGCUCCCUGCAAACAGCCCUUGUGCUGCUGCUCUGCAUGGUGCCACCAGCUCCAGCACCCAGACGUCACACAGAUCACUCCUUUAGAAUUCUGUACUGUUCUGUUCCUUUCCCAUGAACCUUGUUGAAGUGUUGGUAAACAAAGCAUCCUAAAGGGAACGUUGAAGAAAAUGUCCCUGCAUCAUUUUCAGAGACGUAAAAGGCGUGCUGGGCUCCAAAGGAAGUCGGUAUGUGUUGGGCCAGUGUCAUUCAGAAUUGAUACGCUGACAUGCACCGGAGUGGGCUCAUGCUUGACAUCUUGUAAACAGGGUUGAAAAGAAACUUCAAAAUAAACACGCAGCCUUUGUAGGCCCUCCCCUCCAAAAUCCACGCAUUUUGCACGGCCAGAGGUGCCUUCCCAGUCUUCUGUCUGUUGGCAGUUUUACUUUAUCUGUUUUUUCUUCAGAUCACAGCAGAGUGAGUCUGCCUGCGUCAGCAGAAGAGCUGCCUUCGUGGAGGUGCAGUGAAGGUUUCUGACUGACCUGUCCUCACUUUGUAGGAGUUUUGUUUGCUUGCUUAAAUACAGUAAGAUGCUCUCACUGAUGAGUAUGUCCUUUGCCAUAAACAUGCCUGUGGCAAAAUGGUUAUUUUGACAUCAUCCUGCAGUGGCUAGGAUAACCGAGUCUUAGAAAAAUACAGCACCUCCCCCAGAGCUGUGAUGGCCGUGCUGCUGCUUGCUGAUCCUCCCUCUUAUCUGUGCUUUCCUUUACAGGACGCAGUUCUUUAUUAUGGCCCAAGGCCCCGUGGGCUUCUUCUCCUCCCACAAAGCUGCUCAGCCAGGAGGAGGCACAGGCACGGACACGAGGCCACAGCAGCUCCCGUUGUGUCAGACAGCAGAGACGUUGGAGUGGAAGAAGGCCCCACAGCUUUACAGGGGAAAUUGGACACAGUCAGUGACUUUCCAUCCAAAAGAUGAAGAGGAGUUUCUUUUGCAGCACCUAUCAUAAUUGUUUGGGUGUUUUGUUUUUUUCUCCAUUAUUACUGAUGCAAAACUUGCUGAAAC
ensembl:lncRNA